rnacentral:tRNA from 1 species
GGAGAGGUGGCAGAGUGGUCGAAUGUACCUGACUCGAAAUCAGGCGAUGCGGCAACGUAUCCGUGGGUUCGAAUCCCACCCUCUCCG